UGGCGGACGGGUGAGUAAUGUCUGGGAAACUGCCUGAUGGAGGGGGAUAACUACUGGAAACGGUAGCUAAUACCGCAUAACGUCGCAAGACCAAAGAGGGGGACCUUCGGGCCUCUUGCCAUCGGAUGUGCCCAGAUGGGAUUAGCUAGUAGGUGGGGUAACGGCUCACCUAGGCGACGAUCCCUAGCUGGUAUGAGAGGAUGACAAGCCACACUGGAACUGAGACACGGUCCAG
rnacentral:rRNA from 1 species